CGAAACUGUUAAAAAAAAUACAUUUCCCAGCAAGCCUUUCUGCACUUUCAGUCAAGUGAGGCGGUGAACAGUUGAGAGGCGUAAACAUAGCGCCUAUAAAAUGUUUGGUGUUGCGUUACAGAAGCCCGUCCUGUGUUUACUGUGGCGAACUCACCUUUUGCUACUUGUACGCUAACAGCGAGUAAAACUGUAAGACGCAGUCACACAGAUCAGCUAAUCACAUGGCAGUAAUGCAGUGCAUUCAGGCAUGUUGACAUGGUCAAGAUGACCUGCUGAAGUUGAAACAGAGCGUCAGGAUGGGGAAGAAAGAUUGGCGACUUGUCCAGGAUGUAACCUGCCUCUCUGCAUGAUAGCUGGGAUAGGGACCGGCCCCCUAUGACCCUGAAUUUCUGUAAGCAGAAGAAGAUGGAUGGAUUAUCUACUAAGAUGUUCCCUCAUAAUCAUCUCCAGGGUUUGUUGAUGCCAGAGAAGAAUACCAAGGCUGGUCUGAACUAACAGGAAGGCAGGAGUAACUCAAACACUUGUUGCAACCAACAUAUUCAGAAAAGCAUCUCUGAAUGUGCACAUGUAGAACAGGGGUCCCCAAUCCCAGUCCACGAGGGCCGGUGU